AUUUAGUCAUUUUACACAAGUAGAACUACUGGUAUGUUUCUUUAAACUCUUUAAAACAUGACCAUACCCAAAUCUGACUACAACUUUUAUGUUUACUGUUUCUUAUAGUAUGAAUUUCACCUCAAGGAAUUAAUAGUCUUACUUUAUAAAGAUGUACACAUCAAUGUGUUACAUUAUUUAUUAUUAUUCCAACCACUGCUGUUAGUGCUGUUGUGUCUGUUUACUUAUUUUUGUCUGGGUUGUUUAGAAAAGCAGGUGUUAACUGAUCAAAUAUUUUCUCAGAUCAUCUCGGACCAGAUAAACUGGCCCACACACGAUGAUGAGGAAGACAUCGAGGUCUCCUUGGAGGAUACUUGUAGUGCCUCAGGAGAACAUUUAUUGAGAAUGGCUCUUCUAAGCAGCUGGAGAAACUUGUGCAGUUCUGGGUGGGCUGGAACGUAGUCCCCAGAUCUUUGGAUGUUGAAGUGGUGGAGAACAGCUUCCCCAAGUCUUCCCCCUGCUUAAACUCCCAAGACAUUACACUGAAUACAGCAUCUUCCAAACAGCUGCCAAUUCAACCGUUGAUACUGGUUUUGAAAUGAUCUGAGCCUCAGUUUAAAAAAAAAAAAAACAACCACUAAGGAUGAGGCUCACUUGCAGUUUAUGUAAAGCAUGUUUCUCUUUUAGGCUCAGUCCCACUGUUCAGUUGGUGUUCAUUUAGUCAAACAUUUUUAUUUUCCUGCGUUGACUGUGUGGUCAAAAUGUCUAAAAAGACAAGAGUUCAAUGUUAAAAGGGAGACCAUUUAUGGUGUGUAAAGUUUUCUUUUUCUUUUUACUUAUAAAGGGUUCUGUAUCAAAUUGUGUUUUGAUACAGUUGUCAAUCUGUAUCAAAUAAUCUAAAUUGUUUUAUGAUUCACAAAAUGUCUGUUUCUAUUGAUAUGAGCAUAAUGUGUCAAAACAACUCUUAAAACAAUAGGACAGAUUUUGUACAAAGCUCUAUUGCAAAACCAUGUGAGUUAUAAAUGUUAAAAGAAGAGUUCUGCCUUUUUCAUUCUCAAAUACUUUGCUAGGUUAACAAGUAAACAGACAGUUUCAUA